GACGAACGCUGGCGGCGUGCUUAACACAUGCAAGUCGAACGGAAAGGCCCUGCGUUUGUGGGGUGCUCGAGUGGCGAACGGGUGAGUAACACGUGAGUAACCUGCCCUUGACUUUGGGAUAACUUCAGGAAACUGGGGCUAAUACCGGAUAGGAGCUCCUGCUGCAUGGUGGGGGUUGGAAAGUUUCGGCGGUUGGGGAUGGACUCGCGGCUUAUCAGCUUGUUGGUGGGGUAGUGGCUUACCAAGGCUUUGACGGGUAGCCGGCCUGAGAGGGUGACCGGCCACAUUGGGACUGAGAUACGCCCCAGACUACUACGGGAGGCAGCAGUGGGGAAUAUUGCACAAUGGGCGGAAGCCUGAUGCAGCAACGCCGCGUGCGGGAUGACGGCCUUCGGGUUGUAAACCGCUUUCGACUGUGACGAAGCGUGAGUGACGGUAAUUGGUAAAGAAGCACCGGCUAACUACGUG
rnacentral:rRNA from 1 species